CCCGAUACUCGUCGUUCACCUCCCACACCUUAUCCAUUCAUCCAACCUCACACGCGCCGUCCCACCGGGCGACGCGCCCCUCCGCUGCGCUCCUCCUCCCGUUGACGCGCGCCACGCCAAGCACACCCUCGGUCGCCUCCUCUUCUUGCCCACUCCCGGCGACGAGCGCCGCGCCCAGCACGCGCCCGGCCGUCCCCUCCUCCUGCUUCCUCCUGGUGAUGCACACGGCGCCCGGCAGGGCCUGCUCCCCUGGUCCCCUGCGCCGUUGGUCGCCAGCUCAAUCUACCUCCCUCCGGCAUGGGCUGUCCCCGUAGGUUGUGUUGUGCGAGCUCUGCGCAUUAGGACCACCAAAAACAGCAGCAGACGCCGCCGGCGGCAAGACACACACACAUAGCUGGCCUUCAAGGCGCCACAGCUUGCAGUAUGCUGCACCAAAUUCAGCCGAGUGCCCGUAAGCAUGCAGCAUUUGCCCCCACCACCCCGUCCCCUUCGACCCAGACUUGGUGUUUCUACCACCCGUAGUGACGGUUGUUUCUGCUAUUGCUCCAACCAACCACGAGUUGCUCGCUUCACAGGAAACGUUACUCCUCAUAAUCCAUCACUUCAAAAUCCUAAUUAGGCAACUUUCUAUUCAUUUCAGUUGACACAUAGUUUCUCUUUCAUUCUGAACACUCCCGUGCAUCUCCUAGUGAGCCUAUGUUUUUUUAACAUCCUAGUUGUUACUGUACAAAACUAAUGCCUACUAUCAUGGAACUACUUGUGAAUAGUUGCUCCAGUUUUUAACAUGGUUGCCUAGAAUUAAAGGCAAAGUUGCUUUAAUUUUUAUGGAAUUGAUAAGCGCUUCUUCUAGUUAUCUUCAGUCUACCAUUUUUUUGUGUCAUUCACGAACUGAUUCUUACUGUCAGUGAGAUGUUUGCAACUAGUUGCUCCUGUUUUUAUCACGAGUUGCCUACAAUUACAGUUAGAGUUGCUUCAGUUACAGUUAGAAUUGUAAGCAUUCUAUCUAUAUAUUUUCAAUGAUCGAUCUGUGACGUGCUCAUUUGAAUGGAAGCUAUCUCUUGGCCAGCCGGGCGAUUAAUUUGUGUGGCAGUAUCGUCGAAUGAUUUUUUGGCCCUGCUAUUCUUGGUUGCAUAUGUUAGUUAAGAAUUUCCUUUGGAUCCUGUAUAUAGCCACAUGGUCUUCCAUUUAUUUUUGCAUGUAGUCGUCGUCUGGUUGAUGAAUAUGUAGAACAACGUGUGAUUUUGGGAAAAUUAUCACACAACAAAAACACACAGUAAAAGAUACCAUACUUGCCGUACAUAGUCUGCAUCCUUUGUUUAUGCACAAUACAUGAAAGAUGAUAUAGUUGCCUAUAAUUAACCAUACAGUUGCCUAAAACCAUGUAUCUCAUUGCCCAAUCUCAUGAACAGAAACAUUACCAAGACCACGAUUUGGCCAACAUCCAAUGGUUUUAGAUACCUUUCAAUUAAGUUUGUGUCAUAGUGGUGUGUCAAGAAUUUCUUCUCUUCGGGUGGGAUCCCUUGGUAUGAUCAUAAACACUUGCCGAAUGAUCAUAGAGGGUGGCGGGAUGGAGUUGGUAAUGGGGACAUAACUAAAACCAUGAAGUUUUUUAUGAGAUUAAGUUUAUCUGUGAACCCCUAAAAAGCAAAUAUGUGUGUGUUCUUUAUCCCUUUUUCAGGUGUCAUAGUUGCGCACAUUCAACUAUACAGUUUCCUAGAACCAUGUAUCCAGUUGCCCAAUCCUCAUGAACAGAAACAUUAUCAAGACCAUAAUUUGGCUUAUAUGUAAAGGUUUUAGAUACCUUUCAAUUAAAAUUGUGGCAUAGAGAUGCAUCAAGAAUUUCAUCUCCUCAGGUUGGAUCCCUUGGUAUGAUCAUAAAUACUAGGCGAAUGAUCAUAGAGGGGGGGCAGCGUGGAGCUGGUCGUGGGGACAUAACUAAAACCACGCAGUGUUUUUAGGGGAUUAACUUUAUUUGUAACCCCCUCCAAAACUGAACAUGUGUAUGUUCUUUAUCCCUUUUCUAGGUGUCAUAGUUGCCUACAAUCAACCAUAAUGUUGCACAAAAUCAUGUAUUCAGUUGCCCACAAUCAACCAUACAGUUGUCUAAAAUCAUGUAUCCAGUUGCCCACAAUCAACCAUACAGUUGUCUAAAACCAUGUAUCCAGUUACCCAAUCCUUAUGAACAAAACAAUUAUCAAGACCAUAAUUUGGCUAAUAUGAAAAGGUUUUAGAUACCUUUUCAAGUUUGUGUCAUAGAGACGCGUCAAGAAUUUAUCUCCUCAGGGUGGGAUCCCUUGGUAUGAUCAUAAAUACUUGGCGAAUAAUCAUAAAGGGGAAGCAGGGUGGAGUUGGUCAUGGAACUAAAACCGUGAACUAUUUUUAGAGGAUUAAAUUUAUCUGUGAACCCUCCAAAAAUGAAUAUGUGUAUGUUCUUUUACCCCUUUUCAGUCAUAGUUGCCCACAAUCAACAAUACAGUUGCCUAAAGCCAAGUAUCUAGUUGCCCACAAUCAAUAAAUAGUUUGCCUAAAACCAUGUAUCCAGUUGCCCAAUCCUCAUGAACAGAAACAUUACCAAGACCAUUAUUUGAUAAAUAUCUAAAGGUUUUGCAUACUUGUAAUUAUGUUUGGGUCAUAGAGGUAGAGUCAAGAUUUUAGAGGUGUAGCUAGUCAAUUGGUAGUCAUGGUACCAACUUACAAGGAUCAUCCGCUGAUAGGUAGUCAUACUAUGAAAAAAAUGAGUUACUUUCCUGUAACACUAAAGUUGCCUCUAUAGCACACAAAGUUGCUCGGAAAAAAAGUUUGUUGAAACCUACUCAUAUGGGAUCUAGUUUUGAAGAACUCGUCGCGAGAAACCCAACGGUGAAAACGGAUCUGAAUUUUGACACCCGAAUCAAAAGUUACAACUUUUUAAAGUUUUUGAUCCCAUAAUAAAUGCAGGUGGGAUAUAUAACGUUGAGCACAUGGGACAUGACGUUUUCCUUUUCCAGGUGUUCCUGCGGGACGCGUGGGUGCUCUUUCCUAUUAUGGGAGAGUGCUCGCUCCCCCGACUAGGCGCUCGGGCGCCGCCUAGUCGCGUCCAAAAAAAAUAUCCUUUUGACUUCUUUUCAAAAAAGACAAAUUUUUGACUAAAAUAGUAUGAAUAGUGACCUAUAAUAGCAAAUAAAUUUUGUCUUUUUUGCUGUGAGGUCAACUUUUGUUUUUUUUUCGUCGACAUUUAUAUAUCAAUGCAAAAGUAAGUCAAGUGUUUUGUCAAAAUAUUCUUACCUAUUUUGACUUUUUAUUAAAAUAUUAAAAAGAAAUCCCCAUAUAGGUGCAUAUACAACCAGGAACCAAAGUGUAUUUCCAAUAAAGCCGUGGCCAACUCAAUCUCUCCAUGACCAGGACAUGCAACCAAUUAGGAACUGAGGAGAGAGGAGGACAUGCAACCAAUGGAGACCGGAGCCCUCAAUUUACUAUGUUUUCCAGCAGAAAUCGCUAUGCGCACCCGGACGUGUACCUGGCCACAUCCCCCACUAAAGCACGUGUCGCCCACCUAUUGGUCCGAUUUUGGCUGAUAAGAAAAGUCAAAAAAACCUGGUAAACUAAACCUGGCCAGGUUUAGUAUAUUUAGAAUAUAUAGAGAGAAAAUCAAAUCUUUGGUAUUAAAUCAAUGUAUACCAGCUAAUGGAAAUGCCUUCCUGAUUUUUUAUAGAUUUUUAGCCGGAAUUGUUUGGUUUCCAGAAGUGUAGUAUCCUCCUUUUCUUGCCAAUGACCACCUGCCUAAGUAUAACUUGAUUUCCACCGAAUAUUCCCUCCCCCGAGCCACGGCUAACUUGAUUUCUUGCCAAUGACCAGCUGCAGCAAAGAGGAUCCAAACAGACCCACCAGCACUCGACUUACAGCCCGCAAGUAGCCCACCAGCCCACUGCCUAUCGAUGGACUGGACUCGUGAUGGGCUGAUGCCUGAUGGCCAUCGAAGGAAGACGAGAUGAAGAAAACUACACACUUCUCAAAAAAAAAAAAAAAAAAAACUACACCGCCUUUCCUCAAACAAAAAAAAAAAGGCGCCCCGCCGCCCCCACCCCUCAUCGCGGUUCGCCGCCGCAGGCCCUUCGGCCGCGCGCCGCGGCAGCCGGUGCAGCAAGAAGCGGCGGCGGCGGUGGUUGUCGUGGCGGAAGAAGGUUAUGAAGAACAGGAACGGGCGGAGAAGGAUGAUUAUUGCAGAGGGAUUUAGGGGUUAACGAGCCGGAGGAAGCAACCCGCGGCGGGCAACGCGUACGGGUGGAGGAACCACAUGCGCGCGCCAUCCAGUCCAAAUUGCUCGUCGCCAACAUCCAAGAUAGAGAAGAGGGUGAGGGGCUGACGGCGAUGAUCACUUGAUCGGACUUGCCGGUGCUUUUGCAAAGGAUGUGGAGCUGUUCUUCAAGAGCAGGCCUAACUGAUAAACUAUGUUGAGGUGAAAUGUAGAUGUUAUCAAGCCGUUGUUGAUUGAACUGCUAGGUGCAAGCAGGCCUCAAAUUCGACUUCUGAUGAGUACUGAACUGGCAACCGAAUCACUAGGACUAACACCUUGGCCGUGUUUGAGUGCUGCUAGGCCUCGAUAUGAUGGACAGCUGGAUAUUGAUGGCAGUUGGAAAUGCCGACGCCAGGUGCUGACGCAAGGCUGGUUAGAUCACCAGCUACAUUUUUCUUUUCUAUUGUUUAACGCAUAAGUUAUCUCCUCAGCAUGUGUAUUAGUUUAAAUUGUGUUAGAGCUUUUGUAGGUUUGAAGAAUGUUAACGAGCAUGUUAUCCCCGACUUUU